UACGGAGGAUCCAAGCGUUAUCCGGAUUUAUUGGGUUUAAAGGGUGCGUAGGCGGCCUGUUAAGUCAGGGGUGAAAGACGGUAGCUCAACUAUCGCAGUGCCCUUGAUACUGAUGGGCUUGAAUGUACUAGAGGUAGGCGGAAUGUGACAAGUAGCGGUGAAAUGCAUAGAUAUGUCACAGAACACCAAUUGCGAAGGCAGCUUACUAUGGUAUUAUUGACGCUGAGGCACGAAAGCGUGGGGAUCAAACAGG
rnacentral:rRNA from 1 species